CACCCUGUAAGUUCCCGCGUGGGUUCGCGCCGCGUUACGUUCAUUCUUUAGGGCAGACGUGUGGUCUGCAGAAACUUACAUCCACCAUGUGAUCGGGAGAUCCGCCCCCUGAUGGACACCGGUACGUACCGCGGGGAUAUGCUUUGUGGUUAACGCGACGUCGGCGGCGAACGACUAUAGCGCUGGCUCGUGUUCGCAUGGUUUCACCGUGGAAGGGAUGUUCGAACAAUGCAGCGCCCCUCAAAAAGUAGCGAAUCCGUGCGGUAUUCUCAGGCUGCCCAGUCCGAAACGAAUGUUUGUGCGCAUUGCACCACUGCGCAGAGCCCAAUGCCCGACGAGUUCCAUUUGUUCGGAGACGCAGGCAUCUACCUGUGGGCGAUCAUAGGUUGCGGAGCCGGCAUCGCCGUGCUUCUUAUUUUCCUGGUUGCACUGCUCCUGCUGCUACGACGAAAGACUGCCAACGGGAAGAAAAGCUCCAUCCGUGAUACAGAGCAGGAACAAUGCCGCAUAACUCAGGGUGCGGUUCGCCGCGAGUACUUACGAGGUCGGUCCAAUGACGCCGGCCUGUUCGGGCCAUUGUCACAACAAGGCUCCAGGAGCCCCAUGGCACCUGGUCCCGAUUCCAUGCCAGGACUCAGCGCCGAAGCAGUGCAACCUGGACCUCGUUCGCCCUUCGUACGCUGGAACACCUUUUGUGCUCCCGACCCCUCAGGUUCCCACAACGAAAGUAUGCCCUUCGAGGAUGCUAGCUACAGACGCAGGUUCUCGGAUGACGAAGAGGAUACUGUUCCCCCUUGUACCAACGGGAGGCUCUGGUUCUCUGUUCUUUACAACGACGAGACAGAAGAACUGUUCAUUCGAGUAAUCAGGGCCCGGUACCUUCCUGGUCGUGGUCUUACGAACGCACCUCGUGAUCCGUUUAUUCGCGCUUAUCUGCUGCCUGAUGAAGAGAACUUCAGACAGACACAGACAAAGAGACGGACGCUGUGCCCAAGGUACGACGAGACCCUCACGUUCAAGAUUAAUCUACAGGAAGCACGCCUGAGGACCUUGAGGCUGUCUGCUUACGACAUUGACCGCAAGAAGAUCAGGCACUGUCUGGGCCACGUGACUUACUCGCUUGAAGGGGCCGACCUAAUUUCCAACGAGGAGAUAGAAAUGGAUUUGGAAAACGUUCCUAAGAAGACGUCGAAAAUUGGCGAAAUCCACGUGUGCUUGACAUCCAACCCGUUCAGCAACCGAGUGAAAGUGACAAGCAUGAAACUACGGAAGCUGUCUUUACAGAAAGGGACACGAGUGUACGUCAAGGUAAGCUUAAACCAUGGCCGUAACGUGGUGAAGGAAAAGCGGACGACAGAGCGGCCAGCAGCACCGGACAUCGUGGCGUUCAGCGAGGCCUUCUCGUUCGGAGUCGCUGGAAAGUACUUGGAGUCGUGCAGCCUCUGCUUCGUCAUCAUAGCCGUCACCGAUGCAGGCGAUGACGUUAGGCUGGGAAAAACUGCCCUGGGACCUUUCAUGUACGCCAGAGGGGACGAACACCGACACUGGCAGGAGAUGCUUUCCAACCCUCGUAGUCCAAUCAGCAAGUGGCACGCGCUAGAUCCCCCUUCGGAACCCGAACAGUAACACCACUUGGCAAGUCGUCGGUAAGCCGCGCCAGCGCAGCGUUAAUGCUUAGCGCACUGGUACUGACCAGUACAGUACUCAACAGUCCUGUCCCCGAGAGGUGCAGGUUGGAUUGCUGCCGCUCUCCGGCUUUUUCGACGACUGCCAUAUUUCAGCCUCUCACACUCCUGUUCGUACUCAGCCGUAAGUGGUCCUGGUGUGCCCGCUUCUGGAAUGGAGUUAGUGCGUGCUCUCUGGAAUUUCAUUUCGAUGAGCUUGUGAUGACACCUCCGAAACGAGAGGGUACACACAAAAGGGUACACGAAAUAAUUAGAAUCCUCGAAACUCAUAUUUUAGGUGAUUACCGUAAUUUCACGCGUAUAAGCCGCGCCGCAGAUAAGCCGCAGGACGCGUUUUUUGGGACGUUUUGAAAAUUUUCUGGCAGAUAAGCCGCACCCGCAGAUAAGCCGCGGGCAAUACGAGACGACUGAUUUGUGCGACAAAGGAGACCAUAGAGAAGGCCAUAAACCCUGUGGUCCAUACUCCGGGAUCGGCACAGUGUACAACAGAGGAGGUCAGUUCUGGAGUUCUACCAAGAUCGGAUUGUGCACUUGUCGGGUGUUUUUCGUGGGCUGAUGGGUCAGUGAUCUUCCAGAAGACGUGAGUCACUGUCACCACUUUCCUUAAAGCUGCUUGGGGGAAUGCACCAGGAGGAUCAAUCUACUCGAAUGUGGACCCGUCCCAGUUACGCACUGUUCGUGCAUCGGCAGGGCAGUGCUGUUCCAGAGACACUGCCGGCCCUUUCGUUAAAAUCGGCGUAUGGGGAAAAUACCAGGAAAAAAUAGUCAUCAGAUAAGCCGCACCGGUGAAUAAGCCGCAGGGCGCCCGUGAGGAAAAAAAAUCGCGCAUAAGCCGUGGCUAAUACGCGUGAAAAUACGGUAUAAUAAAACGUGAGCGCGAUUGGAGGUAUAGACCUGAGGCCUCAAACUCAAAUCGAGUCGCGGGCUGCGUUUACCUCUACGCCAUGGAGUGCCACGCAGAAAAGAUGUGAUCGUACCGUAACAUACCUGCAAAACUAAGAACAGGAGCGGUGUUCUUAUCGUCAAGCCUGUCGGUGGUGCAACUCAAUGAUUCUGCUUGAAGUACAAAGAGAAAUAAGCUGCCUUCCCAAAUGAGCAGAAGCGCCGAAAUCGACCUCUUCUUUUCGCACUGUAUUGUAAGUAUCUCUUACGGAUCUAAAUCCUGAAAAGUCUUUAUAAAGUCCGUAAUUCAUCGUCUGCAUGAGGCUCGAUGUCCCGCUAGCAGAAGUUCGUGUACAAGGUCGGAGUAUAGCUGGAAAGCACAGUUGUCAAGCUUGUGGAACACCGGAGGACGCAGAGCAGCUACUGGAGCACUGCUAAAGAGGCACAAAAGUACGAAAAUUUCUUUCGCUCAUAACUCACGAACGGUGCAACCGAUGAAGUCCGUUCUUUUACAAAUCAAUCAAUCCGUUCUUUUUGCGUUGUUGUCAAGGCAACUGCAUCCUUCAGUCCACGACAAGAAAUUUUUGCCACUUCAGUGCCCCUUUAGUUUCGCCUUCUGAUAUUCGACAAUCCGGGUAACAGUGGAUAUGGCAAGGAGCCUAUAUAGAGGUGGCUCAACCACCUCUGUCUUUCUUUCGUAUUUCAAUCUCUCUAAUGGAGCAAUGCCAACUUUCAGCGUACCUAUUUACCCACGCCGUUUCAAACGAUAUAAAUAAAUAUGAGAGUACAGCGAAGCGCUCACAGCCUUCGUCUGACGUAUUUUGCUGACGCAGGCUUUCCUGUAUAAUGUAAACUUCGUGACGUCUCGCUUUUGAAGCAGCUUCUAAUUUUUUAGUACCCAGGUGUGGGCGGCCAUAGUAAUACUUUGUGUUAUAGUACUAGUUCUUCUAUGCUUUCGAGUGUUUGUAAAAUGUAUUAUAAUUCUCUAGAAGAUAUAAUACUGAUUUCUAACAAGAAUAAUGUAUUUACAUUACAUAAAAUGUGUGUAAGUAUUAUUGCCAACCCCUCAAGACGUUCUCACAAGACUUAUUGUUUUGGAUCCGACCCAAAUCCAGAGUCAUUUCACAUAAUACGAUUUAUAAGUUUAUUUAUUCUAUACGAAAGAUUGUAUAUGUUGUCGCUAGCAGAUAGGCCAUCCGAUUGGCCAUGGCAGGUUGGUAGCCGCCACAUUGUAGGUCCUAAGGUUUCGACUGUCCAGGACUUCACCUACAUCGCAUUCACCGUGCAUUGAGUGUUCCAAAGUUAUUGUACUGUGUGAAUAUUAUUUUUACAAUAAUCCGAGAGAUUUCCCUGUCUUCAACGUCACUGGUAUAAUCUAGGUAUACUAAGGUACUACUGGUAUACUGGUAUACUCGUUUUCGUUAGCUGGUAUACAGGGUGUUUGCCCUAACGUGUCCAGAAAUUAUAUUUAAAGCGAGAAAUAAAAGAAAAGCAAGUGGUA